rnacentral:sRNA from 1 species
AAGAAAAAAGAAGAAAAGAAAGA